UUACCAAGGUAAUGCCGACAUCGAGCCAGGCGCUCAUACUUAAGAAAGGCGUACUGACGGAGGAUGAAGUGCGACCGACGUCGUCGGGACAUUGGCCGGGAUCUCAGUGCUCUGUGCCGACAGGUGUGAGAUCAGGUCCCCAGUACGCGUUCCGUACCCCGGUCCACUGCAGCAUCGUGACCGUCUACAACUUUGGGCAGGGGCCGGUGGGCGGGGGAGUGACAACCGGACCCCGACGCUAUGCACGCCCUUGGGCGCGAGUCUGCGCAGCUCUUCAAGCAUCAACCGCUACCGAGGGGUUACACCAGCAUCCUCGCAUUCGACCCAGACUCGAAAUCUUAUCAGUGGCGUGCGCAGGGCGGGUCUGGUUCCUCCAUGGAAGUUGAUAAAGUGGACAGCCGGCCCACUUCCGGUCGGUGUCGGCCCUUAACCGCCGGGCCAGACAGAUCGUACAUCUCUGCAAAGUGACGCGGGAUCGCCGGACGAUCUAGCUUGCCCGGACGCCAAUGUCAUGCUCAGUGACAACAUCGACCGGAUCGCCCUAAGUCUGCACAUGCGCAGUGACACACGACCCAGUCGUUCGAACGGCGCAGUUUUCAGUUUCCGAAACAACGAAAAUGUGUCCCACUCGGAGGUGCAGUACCUAAUACAGACUCAACUCGGAGUUCCCGUACGAAGUACCCAGUUCGAUCCCCUUGAUAUCCGGUCGGCGCAACCAGGCGUCAACACCCGCUGGGUGGUCGAAUUGUGUACUACAGCGGAUAUGACAAAAGCAAUACAGUCGGGACUUCAAGCGGGCACGUGCAAGCUGGUGUUUUACCCGCACGAUGACAUCACUAGACGGGAAACCGCGGCCUAUAUAAACUACAUGGAGGUUGUAAACGCGCAUGCAGUGAUAGCGAAUUCUGCUGAUUAUUCAGUGUGCGGGAAACUUAAAACACGCAGUUUCCAGCGGUUUAUGCCACUCGCAACCUUAAAGCUAUCAUGAAGAUCAAUAAAUGGAAGUGACUUUUUGAAACUAUGUGACUAUGUUCUUAUGUUUAUUUAUGUCAUUUGGAAUAUGUACAAUAACAUGUACCAGAAAUGACUCGAUUUUUUAAGUCAGGUACAGAUUGAAGUGGGAAACUUACAUAACCGUCAUUUCA